AUCCUUUGCUGAGGAUACGGUUAACGGAGCGCAAGCGACGUUCAACCGCAAAAGAAGCAGAGGGGGCUUAGUGGUGGGGUGACUGCGUACCUUUUGUAUAAUGGGUCAGCGACUUAUAUUCUGUAGCAAGGUUAACCGCAUAGGGGAGCCGGAGGGAAACCGAGUCUUAAUUGGGCGUUAAGUUGCAGGGUAUAGACCCGAAACCCGGUGAUCUAGCCAUGGGCAGGUUGAAGGUUGGGUAACACUAACUGGAGGACCGAACCGACUAAUGUUGAAAAAUUAGCGGAUGACCUGUGGCUGGGGGUGAAAGGCCAAUCAAACCGGGAGAUAGCUGGUUCUCCCCGAAAGCUAUUUAGGUAGCGCCUCGUGAAUUCAUCUCCGGGGGUAGAGCACUGUUUCGGCUAGGGGGCCAUCCCGGCUUACCAACCCGAUGCAAACUGCGAAUACCGGAGAAUGUUAUCACGGGAGACACACGGCGGGUGCUAACGUCCGUCGUGAAGAGGGAAACAACCCAGACCGCCAGCUAAGGUCCCAAAGUCAUGGUUAAGUGGGAAACGAUGUGGGAAGGCCCAGACAGCCAGGAUGUUGGCUUAGAAGCAGCCAUCAUUUAAAGAAAGCGUAAUAGCUCACUGGUCGAGUCGGCCUGCGCGGAAGAUGUAACGGGGCUAAACCAUG
rnacentral:rRNA from 1 species